UUCCCCGUAGCUCAGUUGGAUAGAGCACCGGCCUCCGAAGCCGGAUGCGUGACCUCGAGUCUCGCCGGGGGGGCAA
rnacentral:tRNA from 1 species